CUUCCACCUCUACUUAUCUGACUGCAGAGAGGAGGACAGAGGACAGUGGACACACAGUUUAACAUGAUGGACUAUAGGACAGGACUGCUGCUUUUAACCAUCUGCUGCUGGACAGGUGUUGAUGGUCAGACUCUGACAGAAUCUGAACCAGUGAUUAAAAGACCUGGAGAAUCCCACAGACUGACCUGUACAGCCUCUGGGUUUACAUUCAGCAGCUACUUGAUGAGCUGGAUCAGACAGGCUCCUGGAAAAGGACUGGAAUGGAUCUCCACUAUUGAUGUUACUAGCAUCUACUACUCCCAGUCAGUUCAGGGCCGGUUCACCAUCUCCAGAGACAACAACAGACAGCAGCUGUAUCUGCAGAUGAACAGUCUGAGGACUGAAGACUCUGCUGUGUAUUACUGUGCCAGAGAGCCACAACAACACAAACCAUCAGUAGACCUGAACAAAAACCCCUCAAUGCCUGAACACUUGUAA